rnacentral:rRNA from 1 species
UACGAGGGGUCCUAGCGUUGUUCGGAAUCAUUGGGCGUAAAGAGCUCGUAGGUGGCUUAGUAAGUCAGGUGUGAAAGCCCAGGGCUCAACCCUGGAAGUGCACUUGAAACUGCAUAGCUUGAGUACGGUAGAGGUGAGUGGAAUUCCUGGUGUAGUGGUGAAAUACGUAGAUAUCAGGAGGAACAUCGGUGGCGAAGGCGGCUCACUGGACCAGUACUGACACUGAGGAGCGAAAGCAUGGGGAUCAAACAGG